rnacentral:rRNA from 1 species
AAAGCUCAAAUUUGAAAUCUGGCACCUUCGGUGUCCGAGUUGUAAUUUGAAGAAGGUAACUUUGGAGUUGGCUCUUGUCUAUGUUCCUUGGAACAGGACGUCACAGAGGGUGAGAAUCCCGUGCGAUGAGAUGCCCAAUUCUAUGUAAAGUGCUUUCGAAGAGUCGAGUUGUUUGGGAAUGCAGCUCUAAGUGGGUGGUAAAUUCCAUCUAAAGCUAAAUAUUGGCGAGAGACCGAUAGCGAACAAGUACAGUGAUGGAAAGAUGAAAAGAACUUUGAAAAGAGAGUGAAAAAGUACGUGAAAUUGUUGAAAGGGAAGGGCUUGAGAUCAGACUUGGUAUUUUGCGAUCCUUUCCUUCUUGGUUGGGUUCCUCGCAGCUUACUGGGCCAGCAUCGGUUUGGAUGGUAGGAUAAUGACUAAGGAAUGUGGCUCUACUUCGGUGGAGUGUUAUAGCCUUGGUUGAUACUGCCUGUCUAGACCGAGGACUGCGUCUUUUGACUAGGAUGUUGGCAUAAUGAUCUUAAGCCACCCGUCUUGAAACACGGACCA